UGGUUUAAUUCGAAGCAACGCGAAGAACCUUUACCAGGUCUUGACAUCCCGAUGCUAUUUCUAGAGAUAGAAAGUUACUUCGGUACAUCGGUGACAGGUGGUGCAUGGUUGUCGUCAGCUCGUGUCGUGAGAUGUUGGGUUAAGUCCCGCAACGAGCGCAACCCCUAUUGUUAGUUGCCAUCAUUCAGUUGGGCACUCUAGCGAGACUGCCGGUAAUAAACCGGAGGAAGGUGGGAUGACGUCAAAUCAUCAUGCCCCUUAUGACCUGGGCUACACACGUGCUACAAUGGUUGGUACAACGAGUUGCGAGUCGGUGACGGCGAGCUAAUCUCUUAAAGCCAAUCUCAGUUCGGAUUGUAGGCUGCAACUCGCCUACAUGAAGUCGGAAUCGCUAGUAAUCGCGGAUCAGCACGCCGCGGUGAAUACGUUCCCGGGCCUU
rnacentral:rRNA from 1 species